UUUGUAUGUCAUCCCCUUCGGGGAAAGGGGGCUUCGCCUUCUCGUGGCAGAGCUACGCUAAGACUAGUCGUAAAGUACCCUUCCCUUCGGCAUACUAGACCGAAUAGAGGGGGGUGCGCUCGAGCUAAAAAAGGCCAUGGACUCCUUUGCUAGGGAAACUAGGUUUAUAGUAGCUUAAGUUCCAUUUAUUGAGAAUAUAUACUUCGUUAACACAAGAUUUUAAACGAGAUUAGCAGGAACCUACUAAACCAUACUUUCCCGCAGGGGAACUACAUCAUAGCUACUACAUUUAACCUACACGACUCCUCACGGGGCUCCCAAAAAAACAUUUUGUUAAACUUGGGCUUCGUUGCAAAGCUCGUUAGGCCUCCGGCCUUAGUGUAACACUACGCGCGUGUAAAGCUACUUACAAAUGCGUUGUAAUUAAACAACGGCCCUUGGGCGUGCCUCGGGCUUUGUAUAACCCCGAAGGGGUAAGACGCACAGCCAAAGGCCUUUAAAACUCCGGCCGUGACAACUGCGUUGUCACUAAACGGAAACCUAAGCAGUAACUCGGGUAGAGCCGUAAAGCAAAAAAAGUGCCACGUACUCGUUCUUGAGUUGUGAUCUCGCUAUAUUUUGUGACAAAUCCAACUAGACUUUGGCCGGAGAUCGACUACGUUAGCGACUUAAAAACAUCCUGAGUCGUUAGAAUUACUUUUUUUUUCAUUUCUCAAAAGGAACUCCGUCGUAGUUUGUCGCGUAACUCAGGGGCAAUGCCCCCUAAUAUAGUUUUUACUACGUUGUAGUAGGCCUCCGGNCAAAACUACGUAGCUGAAGGCCUAGUAUAUCGUCUACAUUGUAGUGGCCACCCCCUUUUUUUACGCCACAAGCGUUAGCGUGUCUUGCGACUUGAAGACAUAUUCUACUUGAAGACCUAUUUUAAAAGACUAAAACUAUGUUAGUUCAAGGAAAUUUGUACUGUGUAANACACAAGAAUACUAUUUGCAAACUCACAAACUUUGUACUUUAGCAAAGCAGCUCACAAAGCAAAGCAUGAAAACUUGAACGAUCAUCCGGCUGUAAGCCGGAUAAAUUGGCAAAGCCAAUCUUAACGAAGUGGCCCUUUAUUUUUAUGGCACGGUGUCGAACUCCUUAAUUUAGUCUUCAUAUUGACAGAUUUUGUGAAGUUGCUACAAAUCUUGAAUGACCACACAGCGCGAAGGCUUUGGGCUUCGCGCUGUGUGGUCAUUCGCGAAGUGUCCCUAUAAUAUUUAGCUUCAGGCGCUUAACUUAGUUGACGUUGGCGCUACAGGUCUUCUUUCUCGGUUUGACUAAGUUAACGAAGCCGCUGUCACAACCAGGGGCGAAGCCCUUUCCUUGUAAAGCGUCGUCGCUCGUUGUGAAGUGGUGUGCAUGCAAAACCACACCGGCAUGUCGAACGCAUCCUCGUUGGUACAACUUGUGCCUUCGUUGUGUUCCAUCCCCUUUAGUUCUUCUUCUUCCCCUUUAGUUCCCCAAAGGGGAAGAACUAAAGGGGAACCCCUUCGUCUUCCCCUUCGGGGAACACUAAAGUGUUCUUCUUCUUCCCCUAAAGGGGAACUAAAGUUCCCCUAAAGGGGAUGAACUAAAGGGGAACCCCUUUAGUUCUUCCCCUUUGGGGAACUAAAGGGGUUCCCCUUUAGGGGAAGAACUCCCNUACGGUGUGUUCCCCUUCUUCCCCUAAAGGGGACGGAGUCCCCUAAAGGGGAAGAAAAAGAGACUUUGGUUCCCCUUUGGUUCCCCUUUGGUUCCCCUUUGGUUCCCCUUUGGGGUUCCCCCCUUUGGUUCCCCUUUGGUUCCCCUUUGGUUCCCCUUUGGUUCUUCCCCUUUGGGG
rnacentral:lncRNA from 1 species